GAACGAUGAAGCCCUUCGGGGUGGAUUAGUGGCGAACGGGUGAGUAACACGUGGGCAAUCUGCCCUUCACUCUGGGACAAGCCCUGGAAACGGGGUCUAAUACCGGAUACGAGCUUCCAAGGCAUCUUGGAGGUUGGAAAGCUCCGGCGGUGAAGGAUGAGCCCGCGGCCUAUCAGCUUGUUGGUGAGGUAAUGGCUCACCAAGGCGACGACGGGUAGCCGGCCUGAGAGGGCGACCGGCCACACUGGGACUGAGACACGGCCCAGACUCCUACGGGAGGCAGCAGUGGGGAAUAUUGCACAAUGGGCGAAAGCCUGAUGCAGCGACGCCGCGUGAGGGAUGACGGCCUUCGGGUUGUAAACCUCUUUCAGCAGGGAAGAAGCGAAAGUGACGGUACCUGCAGAAGAAGCGCCGGCUAACUACGUGCCAGCAGCCGCGGUAAUACGUAGGGCGCAAGCGUUGUCCGGAAUUAUUGGGCGUAAAGAGCUCGUAGGCGGCUUGUCACGUCGAUUGUGAAAGCCCGAGGCUUAACCUCGGGUCUGCAGUCGAUACGGGCUAGCUAGAGUGUGGUAGGGGAGAUCGGAAUUCCUGGUGUAGCGGUGAAAUGCGCAGAUAUCAGGAGGAACACCGGUGGCGAAGGCGGAUCUCUGGGCCAUUACUGACGC
rnacentral:rRNA from 1 species